rnacentral:lncRNA from 1 species
UUUUUCUAACUUUGGAAUCCCUUUUAUGUUGCUCUUUCUUGAAAAAAAUAAAAUAUUUUAAGAUAAAAAACAUAAAAACACGGUAGAAAAGUUAACAUUUUAUUUUCUUUCUUUUUCUUUUUCUAUUCCUCUCUUCCAUCUUUUUCUUCUUUGUUUUCUUUCACGAAGAACACUAGUUGUCGCCAUUUAGCCACCGUUGUUCAACCACAUUGUCGCCAUUUAGCCACCGUCGUUCAAC